rnacentral:RNase_P_RNA from 1 species
GCGAUGAACCAGGCAGCCGCCUGACCGUCAGGUGUUUUACCGGAUAUGCUUUGCAUAACGGCAGCAUGGCGGUCAAGAGGAAAGUCCGGACUCCGCAGGACACGAUGCCGGGUAACGCCCGGGACUUGGCGCUUAAUUCCCAUAGCCGGAGGGUUUUACCCGCGGUUAAAAGGAAUCACGCGCCGGGGACAGACAGUGCAACAGAAAGCAAACCUCCUUUUAUCCCAUUACGGAAUAGAGGGAAAGGGUGAAAGGGCGGGGUAAGAGCCCACCUCGGCGGCGGCAACGCCGCCGGUAAGAUCGGCUGCACCGAAUAGGCAGGGAGUUUUGGAACGAAACUCCCAAGCCAUUUCGGCAAAGCCGAAAUGGCCAACCUCAUCGGGAGCAAAGUCAAGCAGCGUUUAGGUGAAUGGCACAGCCGUUCACGCCGGUUGUCCGCCGGAUAAAACGCGGGUAGACUGCAUGGAGAUGGCCGGUAACGGCCUUCCCAGACAGAUGGUUGCUCUGGCAGUUUUUGCCAUGACAGAAUCCGGCUUAUGGUUCAUCGCUUUU